ACGGGGCGCAGCAGGCGCGAAAACUUUGCAAUACACGAAAGUGUGACAGGGCUAUCCCGAGUGCCAUCCGCUGAGGAAGGCUUUUACCCAGUCUAGAACGCUGGGGGAAUAAGGAGAGGGCAAGUCUGGUGUCAGCCGCCGCGGUAAUACCAGCUCUCCGAGUGGUGUGGAUGUUUAUUGGGCCUAAAGCAUCCGUAGCUGGCUAAGUUAGUCCCCUGUUAAAUCCAACGAAUUAAUCGUUGGAUCGCGGGGGAUACUGCUUGGCUAGGGGACGAGAGAGGCAGACGGUAUUUCCGGGGUAGGGGUGAAAUCCUAUAAUCCCGAGAAGACCACCAGUGGCGAAGGCUGUCUGCUAGAACGCGUCCGACGGUGAGGGAUGAAAGCUGGGGGAGCGAACCGGAUUAGAUACCCGGGUAGUCCCAGCUGUAAACGAUGCAGGCUAGGUGUUUGGACGGCCACGUGCCGUUCUAGUGCCGCAGGGAAGCUGUUAAGCCUGCCGCCUGGGGAGUACGAUCGCAAGAUUGAAACUUAAAGGAAUUGGCGGGGGAGCAC
rnacentral:rRNA from 1 species